UGGGCCGGCCCCAUAAUUUACAUCACAUGGCGUAAAUCACUUCCUCAUUUAGCCUAGGCCUUAAAUCGCUAUAUGUAGCAGCAUUUGGAUGGUGCUGUGUUGCUUGGCUCUUUCGGAAUAUAAUCCCCCCCCGGUCGCUGCAAGGAAGAUUGCAGUUUUUGACGGUGAGCUCCCAGCGAACACUCGGCCACAUUCCUCCCUUGUCCUAAGCCCCUCGGUCUGCUGAUAAGGUGGGUUCUGCACUACGACUGGUCGAAUUGGCACUCAGUUUAGCGUGGAUGCAAGGUAAUACCAGCAUGUACUGUCAUGGGUUGCAUUGCGUAUCUGUUGCUGUUCAAAUGUAAUGCUAAUGCUACUCUGUUUGCCUUCAGGAAGAGCUACCUAUUGCCAUUGCUGUUUUGCCUUGUAUUUUAUUUAUGAUUUCUACAAUUUGUUUUGUUUACGUGUACUAUAUCUCGCACACAGACGCGGCUGUCUGGGCUGGCUGAUUGUGGGUGAUCUGUCUUGUUACGCCUGCAUGUCCGUGUGCUUUGAGAGGGGGAAGUUUGUGUCUGCGUCUCGGAUCAUUUUAUUGUUUGUUUUGUUUGUGACCAACUGUGUUCGUCUCGUAGAUACAAUUAAGCUGCAUCAGCAUCACCCUUAGUGGCUGUAGAUCGCCACAGCUGGGGAUCGGUCGGGCCCACUGGUGGUUGGGUACUCUUUGCUCCUCCUUAUUGGUCACCUGCAUGCUUAGUGUGUUUCCUUAUAGCGUGUUUGUGUACACUCUUAACUGCGUGUUUGCACCACCCUUUGCUGUGAGUGUGGCUAUCAGCGUGUGUGUGACUAUUUUUGCACAGGUAAAUUGGUGUCUCUUCUGGGUGCUUUCCCUCCCUCCAGUGGCCCACCUGACAUACUUUCCCAGCUGGUACAGUAUUUCUUGUCCCUUUUUUACACAAGAUACAUGCAUAUUUAUAUUGGACUGUAAACUGUUGUGAUUGUGCUUGAUUGUAAACUACCUAUUUAAUGAACUAAAUUUAGUGACAUCUAAUAAAAUACAUAUAUAUUUUACUAUUUCCCUUCCAGCAGUUGAUUUGCUUCCAAAAACAUUAAUAAAACUUUGCAUGAACUUGAGAAUUGGGUCUCUGCUCUCUCUGUCCAUAUAAGAACUUGUGUUUUAAGGUGUUAUAAUUGAGUAGGGUAUAUUUCCCAGUUUCCCUCUGGGUGGCGUAGUCGGGUUCCUUUGCGUGACUUUGGACUCUUAUGGGCCCUGGUCACACUUGUUUGAAAGAAAAAGGAAUUCUCCAGAACUGAGUGAUGAAUUAAUAAUGUGACGACUGGCGAAAGUAGUGGCUGUGAUGAUGGAUUGCAGAAGAGUGGAUGGAAUGGGAUCCAAGUGGCAUGUUGUUGGACGACUUCGCUGAAGAAAUAUUAAAACUUUAUCAUUAAGAGGAAAAUAAUGAAU